rnacentral:rRNA from 1 species
CCUACGGGGGGCUGCAGUUGGGAAUCUUGCACAAUGGGGGAAACCCUGAUGCAGCGACGCCGCGUGGAGGAAGAAGGGUCUCGGCUCGUAAACUCCUUUUUCAGGGAAAGACUUCGGACGUUACCCUGAGAAUAAGCUCCGGCUAACUACGUUCCAGCAGCCGCGGUAAGACGUAGGGAGCGAGCGUUGUCCGGAUUUACUGGGCGUAAAGAGCCCGUAGGCGGUCUGUUAAGUGAGAAGUGAAAUCUCCAGAGCUCAACGCGGAAACGGCUUUGCAUACUGGCAGACUUGAGGGAUGCAGAGGAAAGUAGAAUUCCGGGUGUACCGGUGACAUGGGUUGAGAUCAGGAGGAAUACCAAUGGCGAAGGCAGCUUGCUGGGCAGCAGCUGACGCUGAGGUGCGAAAGCGUGGGUAGCAAACAGGAUUAGAUACCCCAGUAGUC